GUCCCUAUUCCCUACAUAGUGCACUAAAUUAGACCAGAGUUAUGGAACGGAAUUCCCUUUUUAUGCACUUUGACCUUGAACUGAAGCAUGAGAAUAUUCACCUGCUACACACCUGUUAUUCACCUGCUACACACCUGUUAUUCACCUGUUCACCUGCUAUACACCUGUUAUUCACCUGCUACACCUGUUAUUCACCUGUUAUACACCUGUUAUUCACCUGCUACACACCUGUUAUUCACCUGUUCACCUGCUACACACCUGUUAUUCACCUGUUAUUCACCUGCUACACACCUGUUAUUCACCUGUUAUACACCUGUUAUACACCUGUUAUUCACCUGCUAUACACCUGUUAUUCACCUGCUAUACACCUGUUAUUCACCUGCUAUACACCUGUUAUUCACCUGCUAUACACCUGUUAUUCACCUGCUAUACACCUGUUAUUCACCUGCUACACACCUGUUAUUCACCUGUUAUACACCUGCUACACACCUGCUAUACACCUGUUAUUCACCUGCUACACACCUGUUAUACACCUGUUAUUCACCUGCUAUACACCUGCUAUACACCUGUUAUACACCUGCUAUACACCUGAUACACCUGAUACACCUGCUACUCACCUGCUACACACCUGCUACUCACCUGCUAUACACCUGUUAUUCUCCUGCUAUACACCUGAUUCACCUGUUAUACAUCUGCUAUUCACCUGCUAUACACCUGCUAUUCACCUGCUAUUCACCUGCUAUACACCUGCUAUUCACCUGCUAUUCAUUGGGGGUGGAGAUCUAAUACAUGAAGGUGUGGCGGAGCCGUGUCUACAGAUUCUGACCUUGUUGAUGCCUUCUUAACAUGCAUGACACCAAGGCUUUUACGGUUACAGAAGUCAACAAAUGAGAGAGCCUGGGGAAUGGGAGUGGAGCUAGGCACUGCAGGGCCUGGGUUAACCUCUACAUCACCAGACCAAGACCUCCCUGACCAAGGCCCUUCUCCCUUGAUUGUUCAGUUUGGCCAACGGGCCAGCUUCCAAACUUCUUUCAUUUAAGAAUGAUAGAGGCCUCUGUCUUCUUUGGGAAAUUCAAAGCUGCUGAAAUGUUUUGGUACCCUUCCCAAGAUCUGUGCCUCGACACAAUCCUUUUUCAGAGCUCUACGGACAAUUCCUUUCGACAUCAUGGCUUGGGUUUUGCUCUGACAUGCACUGUCAACUAUGAUACCUUAUGUAGACAGGUGUGUGCCUUUCCAAAUCAUGUCCAAUCAAUUGAAUUUACCCCAGGUGGACUCCAAUUAAGUUGCAGAAACAUCUCAAGGAUGAUCAAUGGAAAUAGGAUCCACCUGAGCUCAAUUUCAAGUCUCAUAGCAAAGGGUCUGAAUAUUUAUGUAAAUUUAAUAAGGCAUUAUCGUGGGUAGUUUGACUAGGUUUUUAUUUAAGGGGUCUGAAUACUUUCCGAAUGCACUGUAAAUUACACUGAGCAAAAGAGGAUGUUUUUGGAUUUUCACCCUCCAGACAUUAUUCCCUAAAGGUCUUGAUGAGAUAGAUGCCCAAGCAUGUUAUGUUGUAAAUGUGAACAUCAAUUAAUGCCGCCACUUCAGCCACUCUGGUGGUUUUUCCUGCACUGUACCCAUUGAUUACGUACUUGAUAGGUUGAUGUCCUCAUUGUGUUUUUACAGUCUUUUUUAAUAAGUUUAGAAUACUUAUUAAAUACACAUUGUUAUAUUUGAUAACACUUGGUUAUUUUCUUAAUAAAGAGCAGCGAACCUAGCAAGAGCAGUGUGUGGGUUUCUUUUUUCUCUCAGGAUGUAACAACAAAAUGUGGAAUAAGUCAAGGGCUAUGAAUACUUUCUGAAGGCACUGUACACGCACUACAUCACCACACACUACAUCACCACACACUACAUCACCACACACUACAUCACCACACACUACAUCACCACACACGCACUACAUAACCCCACACGCACUACGUAACCCCACACGCACUACAUCACCACACACUACAUAACCACACACUACAUCACCACACACUACAUAACCACACGCACUACAUAACCCCACACGCACUACAUAACCACACACUACAUAACCACGCACUACAUAACCACGCACUACAUAACCCCACACUACAUAACCCCACACUACAUAACCACGCACUACAUAACCACGCACUACAUAACCCCACACGGACUACAUCACCGCACACUACAUCACCACACACUACAUAACCACGCACUACAUAACCCCACACGCACUACAUCACCGCACACUACAUAACCACACACUACAUAACCACGCACUACAUAACCCCACACGCACUACAUCACCGCACACUACAUCACCACACACUACAUAACCACGCACUAC
rnacentral:lncRNA from 1 species